GGCGGCAUAGCCAAGUGGUAAGGCAGAGGUCUGCAAAACCUUUAUCCCCAGUUCAAAUCUGGGUGCCGCCUCCA
rnacentral:tRNA from 33 species